rnacentral:rRNA from 1 species
GACGAACGCUGGCGGCGUGCCUAAUACAUGCAAGUCGAACGCUUCUUUCCUCCUGAGUGCUUGCACUCAAUUGGAAAGAGGAGUGGCGGACGGGUGAGUAACACGUGGGUAACCUACCCAUCAGAGGGGGAUAACACUUGGAAACAGGUGCUAAUACCGCAUAACAGUUUAUGCCGCAUGGCAUAAGAGUGAAAGGCGCUUUCGGGUGUCGUUGAUGGAUGGAGCCGCGGUGCAUUACCUAGUUGGUGAGGUAACGGUUCACCAAGGCGACGAUGCAUAGCCGGCCUGAGAGGGUGAUCGGCCACACUGGAACUGAGACACGGCCCAGACUCCUACGGGAGGCAGCAGUAGGGAAUCUUGGGCAAUGGACGAAAGUCUGACCGAGCAACGCCGCGUGAGUGAAGAAGGUCUUCGGAUCGUAAAGCUCUGUUGUUAGAGAAGAACAAGGACGUUAGUAACUGAACGUCCCCUGACGGUAUCUAACCAGAAAGCCACGGCUAACUACGUG